ACACGCACUACUCCUGGCACUACUUUCUUGGUGGAAGAAAACCAAGACCUUCAGAAUGGACAGCACUGUGGUGACAAGGUUGGGGAAGGAAGUCCCAGGCUGAGGGAACAGCAUGGGCGAAGGUGUCGAGCAGAGAGAGCUGGUGUUUCAGAGGGACCAAAAGCUGGUGCCCAGGUGGUGCAGUGGUUAAGCACUCAACUGCUAACUGGAAGGCAAAAGCCGGACAAUGAAGAAGGA